rnacentral:rRNA from 1 species
AGCGGCGGACGGGUGAGUAACACGUGGGUAACCUACCUAUAAGACUGGAAUAACUUCGGGAAACCGGAGCUAAUGCCGGAUAACAUUUGGAACCGCAUGGUUCUAAAGUAAAAGAUGGUUUUGCUAUCACUUAUAGAUGGACCCGCGCCGUAUUAGCUAGUUGGUAAGGUAACGGCUUACCAAGGCAACGAUACGUAGCCGACCUGAGAGGGUGAUCGGCCACACUGGAACUGAGACACGGUCCAGACUCCUACGGGAGGCAGCAGUAGGGAAUCUUCCGCAAUGGACGAAAGUCUGACGGAGCAACGCCGCGUGAGUGAUGAAGGUUUUCGGAUCGUAAAACUCUGUUAUUAGGGAAGAACAAAUGUGUAAGUAACUGUGCGCAUCUUGACGGUACCUAAUCAGAAAGCCACGGCUAACUACGUGCCAGCAGCCGCGGUAAUACGUAGGUGGCAAGCGUUAUCCGGAAUUAUUGGGCGUAAAGCGCGCGUAGGCGGUUUCUUAAGUCUGAUGUGAAAGCCCACGGCUCAACCGUGGAGGGUCAUUGGAAACUGGGAAACUUGAGUACAGAAGAGGAAAGUGGAAUUCCAUGUGUAGCGGUGAAAUGCGCAGAGAUAUGGAGGAACACCAGUGGCGAAGGCGACUUUCUGGUCUGUAACUGACGCUGAUGUGCGAAAGCGUGGGGAUCAAACAGGAUUAGAUACCCUGGUAGUCCACGCCGUAAACGAUGAGUGCUAAGUGUUAGGGGGUUUCCGCCCCUUAGUGCUGCAGCUAACGCAUUAAACACUCCGCCGGGGGAGU